GGUCUGAAGGUAGAGACUUAUCUCAAUUGACUCUUCACAAUCAGUUAACAGAUUGAACUCCUUAUUCUAUUCUCCCUCUCAUGUUCACUACUGCACUUACCUAACCUUAA
ensembl:misc_RNA Y_RNA Y RNA